AAGAAAGGAGGCUUUGAACCAAAUCGUUACCAAGAGAUCAAGCAAAAUUGGUUUGGGAGGUUUUCUAGAGGAGGGCAGCGUGUGGUUCACCCUCAAUGAUAAAAGCCACCAGGGCCCAGCCGCUGCUUCAGGUCUGGGCUGUAAAUAUCUGCUUCUGUCGUUUGCAUUCAUUUCGGUGAAACCUCAGCUUCAGAAGGACAGAGGACGCCACAAUAGCUCAGCGAGGAUGUGAACAAUAAUAUUAGGGAUGAAAAGGAUGCGUUCUGGGCGGUGAAGGAUCGGGGCGAGAUGAGCCAGGAGGUGGCGGGGCAGGAGAAAAUGGGAGUAAUCCUUUAAAGCAAGCCCAGACAGAAAAGGCCUUGUCCCUGGGCCACCCCGAGACGUUAUCCUGAGCCCUGGAAGCUCUGUGUGGCUGGCCCAGCAGUUGCAGCCUCACUGGACAACGAGUGCUGAGCCCUGUGCUAACUCCGUGACGCUGCAAGGGAAGGCCGGUCACGCUGAGAGGCAAGGAGUUCACCGGAGAAAUGCUGGCUCCAAGUCUUUACAAUUUGCUUUGCCGCUAAUUCCCCUUAGAGUGCAGAGGAUGCAAGCAAAGGUGUCGGUAGUUAAUCCAAUAAUUAAAAACAAACACUGCUUUAUUUGAAAAGACUCUUUCCUUCCUGGUUCUGGAGCCGGGAUUGAGGCUGGGCUGCUCUUAGAGGGGGGCUGUGCCCGAAGAUGCCAGCCAG
rnacentral:lncRNA from 1 species